rnacentral:tRNA from 1 species
AGACCUGAAGCUUAGGCAGCGAAGCAGUCGGCUUUUAACCGGCAGAGCAGGGUGCGUGUCCCUGCAGGUCUA